rnacentral:rRNA from 1 species
UACGUAGGGUGCGAGCGUUAAUCGGAAUUACUGGGCGUAAAGGGCUCGUAGGCGGCCAACUAAGUCAUACGUGAAAUCCCUCAGCUUAACUGGGGAACUGCGUGUGAUACUGGAUGGCUUGGAUUUGGGAGAGGGAUGCGGAAUUCCAGGUGUAGCGGUGAAAUGCGUAGAUAUCCGGAGGAACACCAGUGGCGAAAGCGGCCACCUGGACUGCACCUGACGCUGACACGCGAAAGCUAGGGGAGCGAACGGG